rnacentral:rRNA from 1 species
UCAUAUGUACAUUCCUACAAUGUUAAUGCACUACAUUCCAUUAGAAAUUCGUAUUUAAGUGUGCUUGGGAUAGAGUAGUACUGGGAUGGGUGACCUCUUGUGAAGUCCUAGUGUUUUACAUGCC